AUUGAACGCUGGCGGCGUGCUUAACACAUGCAAGUCGUGCGGUAACAGGCGUAGCAAUACGUGCUGACGAGCGGCGAACGGGUGCGUAAUACAUGGGAAUCUGCCCUUUAGUGGGGAAUAACCCGGCGAAAGCCGGGCUAAUGCCGCAUAAGAUCUUCGGAUGAAAGCGGGGGAUCGUAAGACCUCGCGCUGAUGGAUGAGCCCAUGUCGGACUAGCAGUUGGUGAGGUAACGGCUCACCAAGGCGACGAUCCGUAGCUGGUCUGAGAGGACGGCCAGCCACACUGGGACUGAGACACGGCCCAGACUCCUACGGGAGGCAGCAGUGGGGAAUAUUGGACAAGUGGGGAAACCCUGAUCCAGCGACGCCGCGUGUGUGAAGAAGGCCU
rnacentral:rRNA from 1 species